GGGCACUUGGUCUAGGGGUAUGAUAUUCGCUUCGCAUAUGUCAAUGUGUAUUUGUGAAUGGUCGUGGGUUCAAUUCCCACAGUGUCCA